CGGCGUGCUGGAGCCGUUCAGUCGCCGCAGCCGCGGAGUGAGGGAGCGAGAGUCUUCCUUAGCUUCCCCGCCAUGGGCGUCGCUUCGUAGCCGGGCUGCUCCGGGAAAGGCCUCGUACAGGAAAACUAGACAAUCCACCAGCCCAGGAGGGGACAAGCAGGCUUAAUCCCCCUCCUCGUCAUCUCUGGCUCCAGCCCCACCCUGGCCCUUCCUGGCAUUCUUCCUCUUCACGUGGCUGGGGUGGCCACCCCAAUAGGGAGGCAGAGGGAGAAGUCCAUGUGCUUCUGGGAAUCCAGGCGGACAGUGAAGAACAGGAUAUUUACCACCUGCUCACGGAUAUGAUACUGUUGGAUCAGCACACGAGCGUGGCGGAUGGACUUAAGCCA
rnacentral:antisense_RNA from 1 species